GUUUCUAAUGUCAAAUUUACAAUUUUUUGAAAUAUUUUUCGUUAAAAUUUAUUUUUAUACACAAUUAGCAACUUGCAUGGUGUAAUAUAUUGAAAAAAUCGACCCUUGCCCCCCUUCCUCGGCGUCCCUGUCAAUGAGUUUAAAAGAGACACUCGGUGACAAAAAUACGUAGUGGAUAGAAAACAAAAAAUAUACAUAAUCCCAAGGACAAAAUGUAUGGGGAUUCGUGGUGGAAAAUUCAAUAUUUCCAAUCGCAAUUUCAUUAUUUAACGUUUUGUAUACUAGCAAUAUAUAAAUAUUCCAAAUUUAUAUUAUUAAUAAAAGCGACAUCUAGCCAAUAGUAGAUUAACUUAUAUAUGAAUUAAUACAGAUUUCUGUAUCGUUUAAUGACAUUAUGUUGGUUAGCAGUGUUGAACUUUGAAAUUUUAUACACUAGAUGUCGAUAGUGAUAAUGAAUAUUAGAAUAUAUAAAUUUGUUUUAAGAUAUUUAAUUUCAAUGUUAUAAAUUGAAUGAUAAACAAAUUAAAAA